GAGGUAUUAGUUUAAUAGUAAAACUUAAUGUUACAGCUAUUACAUUUAUAGUUUAAGUCUAUAAUACCUCU